CAGGCUGUGAUGAUUGGCGCAGGGGUACGGACCUCAGCUGAGUUAUGGGAGCUGAGUGUACGUGUUUCUCCUCCGUCCUGCAUGUGGCAGUGCGGUGGCGAGCACGUACAUGAGAUAUGCCUCGAUCUGAGCCUG
rnacentral:snoRNA from 12 species